UGAACGCUGGCGGCGUGCCUAAUACAUGCAAGUCGAGCGAACAGACGAGGAGCUUGCUCCUCUGACGUUAGCGGCGGACGGGUGAGUAACACGUGGAUAACCUACCUAUAAGACUGGGAUAACUUCGGGAAACCGGAGCUAAUACCGGAUAAUAUAUUGAACCGCAUGGUUCAAUAGUGAAAGACGGUUUUGCUGUCACUUAUAGAUGGAUCCGCGCCGCAUUAGCUAGUUGGUAAGGUAACGGCUUACCAAGGCAACGAUGCGUAGCCGACCUGAGAGGGUGAUCGGCCACACUGGAACUGAGACACGGUCCAGACUCCUACGGGAGGCAGCAGUAGGGAAUCUUCCGCAAUGGGCGAAAGCCUGACGGAGCAACGCCGCGUGAGUGAUGAAGGUCUUCGGAUCGUAAAACUCUGUUAUUAGGGAAGAACAAAUGUGUAAGUAACUAUGCACGUCUGGACGGUACCUAAUCAGAAAGCCACGGCUAACUACGU
rnacentral:rRNA from 1 species